rnacentral:rRNA from 1 species
GGAUUAGAAACCCCGGUAGUCCAUGCCGUAAACGUUGGGCACUAGGUGUGGGGUCCAUUCCACGGAUUCUGUGCCGCAGCAAACGCAUUAAGUGCCCCGCCUGGGGAGUACGGCCGCAAGGCUAAAACUCAAAGAAAUUGACGGGGGCCCGCACAAGCGGCGGAGCAUGCGGAUUAAUUCGAUGCAACGCGAAGAACCUUACCAAGGCUUGACAUGCACUCGUAACAUCUAGAGAUAGGUGCCCCGUAAGGCGGGUGCACAGGUGGUGCAUGGUUGUCGUCAGCUCGUGUCGUGAGAUGUUGGGUUAAGUCCCGCAACGAGCGCAACCCUCGUCCCAUGUUGCCAGCGGGUUAUGCCGGGGACUCAUGGGAGACUGCCGGGGUCAACUCGGAGG